CUGGAUUCUGUCUGUGGGCAUUUAGAACUGGCACUCACCAGAGCUUGCCUCAUUUGGUUACUGGCACGGAGGCAGGGAUAGAUUCCAGACAUGGAGUUACUUUAUCAAAGUCUUUUUACAGCAAAUGUUUUUCCAAGAGUUUAUAUAAAUUUUCAGAACCAUCAAGAUAUAUGGUAGUACCCAUUUUACUACAUUCUCACCAGCACCAAAUAAAACAGCAAUCACAAAAAUAACUUUGCCAAUCAGCAACAUGGAUGGACCCUAGAAAUUACCAUACUAAGUGAAGAUGAUUCAGUGCUGAAAGCACAUAAAAAUCAAGUUCUCGUACAUGAUGACAACUGGAUCCCUCUACUGAACCGCAGUGAGGAAACUGAG